rfam:Botryobasidium botryosum FD-172 SS1 unplaced genomic scaffold BOTBOscaffold_17, whole genome shotgun sequence.
GGGCAUGUAGCGCAGUGGUAGCGCGUCCGCUUUGCAUUGGAAUUACAUGCGUGCGGAAGGACCAGGGUUCAAUCCCCUGCUUGUCCA